UACAACAACAAUAAGAAAUAGUAAAAAAUAAGAAUAUUAACUUAAAGUACAGGUAUACAUCAUGGACAUAUCCUCUCCUUUCAACUCAGUAGCACAGAAGAAAAAGAGAAGACCGAGAGAGGACCACUGAGGACUAUUGAGAUACACCCCAAGUGAAGUUUCGUUUCAACUGAAAUGCUCGGAAUGUUUAAGGAGGAAACCGAGAAAAGGGAUUGCCCAGAGAAGACCGCUAAAGCCCACCCCCGCACGCAGUUUCAGUAUUACACACAAUCGUUUAAAAUAACCAUUUUAAUUAACAAAGUCUUUGAAAAUCUUUCAUAUUUCUAUAAUAGUGUUGAAUUGAAUUUGUCAACAACAACUUCAUAUUGGUUUACACUAAUUCAGUGAAGUCAGAUGUUUGCCAUCAGACCGCCCCUCCGUGAUAUUAUUUGAGUCUUCUGCAUCCUUCCAGAUCUUUCUCCUUUCAAAAAAAUAUUUUCAGCACCAGACCAUCGUUUCUUCUCACCACAAAGACCAGCAAGCUAUGUCAUGUUGAAAGCUGUCAUCAAAACUAUAAUCACGAGUGCAACACGGCAGCACAGCCUUUAUGCAGGUAUGGUGAAGACAGAAAGAAAUUGGCUUCUCUGUAACUUUGACUGAAGAACCACUUCAGUGAAAAGGAUUCAAUGGAUUUCAGUAUGGCUGAACAAGUCGAAAUCAAGAAUGAAGAUGACAAACCAACUGACCUGCCAGAUGAGAUUAAGGAUUGGAAUAAACAUCACGUGAAACAAUGGGCUCUCAACAAGGCUUGUGUGGAUGGUGAAUCUGCAAAUAUCUUGCUUCAGCAGAACAUUAAUGGGCCCAGUCUUUUACUUUUAGAAAAAUCUGAUUUACAAGAGGUGGGUGUCACACUGGGGCCUGCAAAGUUGAUCAUUCACAAGAGGGAUGAACAUUUGAAAUUUAAGAAAGAGCAGUUGAGUAGCCCAACAACAAAUCAGUCUGGGAGACCAUGCAAGCCGUACCCUUUUCAUCGACACCAUGAUGCCUGCAGAUACAAGGCGAACAGCGUUCUUGAUGUAACAGAAUCCGGUGCAUCAGACUAUAUUGAACCCUGUCAUGAAUAUAAAGGAUACAUCCAUAUGUCAGAGGCAGCUGUAGAGAGCAAAAUGGAAAAGUUCACUGAUGAGGUUAUUCGAUUUGCAGCAGCCUGCAUGAAUAGCCGCACUAAUGGCACCAUACAUUUUGGAGUUGGUGACAAGCCAGACUUUGUUCAUGGGCAAGUUUUGGGAGUUAGCGUCCUGGAUAAAGAGGCAUAUGUCAAUGCUCUGCCACAAGCCAUUGAGGGUCAUUUUGAGUAUAGACAUAUCCAGACAGCCAAGAUGUGCAUCAAACCACCUCGAUUUGUUGAGGUUCUCAAUCCUGAUAUGACAUCCUCAGAGAAGUAUGUGAUAGAAGUGGACAUCGUGCCAGACUUUGUGAUCUGUCAAGAGAACUUCUAUCACGUUUUCCGCUUGGAUACAA